UACGAAGGGGGCUAGCGUUGCUCGGAAUCACUGGGCGUAAAGGGUGCGUAGGCGGGUCUUUAAGUCAGGGGUGAAAUCCUGGAGCUCAACUCCAGAACUGCCUUUGAUACUGAAGAUCUUGAGUUCGGGAGAGGUGAGUGGAACUGCGAGUGUAGAGGUGAAAUUCGUAGAUAUUCGCAAGAACACCAGUGGCGAAGGCGGCUACCUGGACCGGUACUGACGCUGAGGCGCGAAAGCUAGGGUAGCAAACAGG
rnacentral:rRNA from 1 species